UACGAAGGGGGCUAGCGUUGCUCGGAAUUACUGGGCGUAAAGCGCACGUAGGCGGUCUUUUAAGUCGGUGGUGAAAUCCUGGAGCUCAACUCCAGAACUGCCUUCGAUACUGGAAGACUUGAGUCCGGGAGAGGUGAGUGGAACUGCGAGUGUAGAGGUGAAAUUCGUAGAUAUUCGCAAGAACACCAGUGGCGAAGGCGGCUCACUGGCCCGAUACUGACGCUGAGGCACGAAAGCGUGGGGAGCAAACAGG
rnacentral:rRNA from 1 species